rnacentral:lncRNA from 1 species
AAUAAAAGAUCACAUCCAACCUAAAUGUGCAUAAAAGAGUAAAAGGGAGAAAUAAGGAUGGAAUAAAAUGGAAGUUGGUUAGUAAGUGAGACCCCAAGGUUAGUGUAGUGGUAAGGAGGCUUAAUCACUCCAAAGGUUCAUAUGUAUCAUACCAGUCCCCAAGCCUAUAUUAUAAGUAGAGAAAAGUCCUAUAGUGAUCCUAACUUGACUAUCUGAAUGCUAAGGUAAAGAAAAUAAGGC